ensembl:snoRNA SNORA70 Small nucleolar RNA SNORA70
CUGCAGUUGAGGAAGUAACUGGGUUCCUUUGCUCGUGGGUGCCCAGUAUGCAGUGGCUGGGAACAGCAACCUCUUUGGUAGUGUAGGAAGCCUCUUGCUGGUGUGGGUAGCCCCAGGGGACCCUGGAGGCACUG